rnacentral:rRNA from 1 species
UACGAAGGGGGCUAGCGUUGUUCGGAAUUACUGGGCGUAAAGCGCACGUAGGCGGACUAUUAAGUCAGGGGUGAAAUCCCGGGGCUCAACCCCGGAACUGCCUUUGAUACUGGUAGUCUCGAGUCCGGAAGAGGUGAGUGGAAUUCCGAGUGUAGAGGUGAAAUUCGUAGAUAUUCGGAGGAACACCAGUGGCGAAGGCGGCUCACUGGUCCGGUACUGACGCUCAUGCACGAAAGCGUGGGGAGCAAACAGG